rnacentral:lncRNA from 1 species
CCUUUAUGUUGUUAUUCUUAAUAAAGGCAUCAACUGUCAACAAACUAUUCAGGAUGUGUCAUUGACUUUCAAUCUCUUAAAUAUAGUAGUUUGAUUGUUAAUUUCAACCUUACUUUGAGUUGUCAGAGUCAAGAAUUUCUGCCAUUGUCUUGACUUCAUUCGAUACUCGUGGAAAGCGAAAGUAGUUUAUCAACAAUUGAUGUCCUCAAAGAACCCGACGCCAUUCUCUGCCAACACGACUUGCAUCAAAUUACAUGUUACCUGACAGAAUAAGUUUUAUCAAUCAACAGACUUUGUGAUAGAACAUGUACCCUUGUCAAGCGCCAUAUUACUUUGUGAGUGGUCCUGCCGUAAUUAAGUCGUUUGAAGUCGCAUUCUCAGGUGAGAUGUCUCUCGUCGAAAGUUUUGCGACUCGUCUUGAUAUUUUUAAACUUGCAACCUGUUUUUAUAGCCCG